rnacentral:lncRNA from 1 species
CAUGUUUUCUUUACGUCUUUGUGACUCGAGAUCUAAGACUGUAAACCCAUCUCUCUAUCGAAUCCCAUCUGGGCCAUCUCUCUCCCUCAUCACUCUCUGCGCCAUUGUUCUGCGCCAAGCCACCGUUGCUUUUCUACAAGUGCUCCUCUGUCUCGCUGUUGAAGUUCAAUCACUCCAAAUAGGUAAGCCUAAUCUUUUUCCUAAUUUUAUUUAUUGUUAUCAGUUUUUCUAGGGUUCUUGGGAGCAGAAAAACAGAUCCACCAAAAUGUAGCUUUCUCUCUCCUCUAUUAUUUUUUCUGAUUUUGUACUUUUGUUGAAGCACUUCGAAUCCCCUACAGAAACCCUAAAUUUAUCUUUAAUUUUCUUGCUCAAAUCCGUAUAUUUUGAUGGCUUAACAAAGGGACCUCAGAAGAACCUGUAAAAUCUGCAAAAAUCUGGGAUAUCUAUCACAUUUAUUUGUUUUUGUUUUUAUUUAUUUAUUAUUGCUGUUAGGGAUCUUCGUUCCCCACAAAAAUCCUAAAUCUCAGGUAAGCCUAAUUCCUUGUUUAAUCCCAUGCUUUUGAGAUCCCAUGGUGAUUGGGUACGUUUUCCUUUUAUUUAGAACCAUUUCUCCAUCUCAAGAGUGCUUGAUUUUAGAGAAAGAAACCUUUUUUCUUCAACCUUUUUUUCUUUUCUUGCUGUGGUUCCAUGGAAGUUACUGUAAUUGGAUGUUGUGGUUUCAAUUGUGUUAAUUAUGUGGAUUUCGGUUUCUGUUCAUAGAGGAAUGAACCAUCUUCCUCUCUCUCUUUCUUGAAGUUGCUUUAAUUGGAUGUUUUGUGGUGGUUCUGCAAAUUUGUGGGUUCUGGCUAGUUCAUGGGGAAAUGAAUCUCUCUCUGUUGUUUGAAUGCUUAUUUUUGGGGUUUUAGAAAUUACUGCCUUCAAUGGUUGUUGCAGCAUAUGUUUGUUUACUGAGCAUAGUUCUUGACCCUUGAUCAAAUUUGCUUGUCUUUUUUAUUAUAAAGAAUUGACUGUCAUAUAGAAAUUUGCUUGUCUUUUUUAUUAUAAAGAAUUGACUCAUUUAUUUCUAUAUAUCGAUUCUAUCUGCUGUGGUUUCUUCUGAUAUGAUUGUUUUGAUAUGCGUUUAGUGCUAAAAUAAUGUUUACAUGGAAUGUUUUGGAGCUAGCCAUUGGAUAGUUGUCACUGAGAAUUGCUUCCCAUAGUCCUAAGUUGAUAUUGUGACUAUUUUACUGAUGAUUUAAUUUAUUUCUGAUGAUCUACUCUGUGUUCUUGGCUUCAGCAAUCUAGUUCUAAAAUUCUAGUGCUUUUGAUGAAAAUAUUUGAAUGGAUGCUAUCAAAGGAGUUUGGAAUUAGAUAAAACCACCUUAUAUGUGAAUCAUGAUCAUGUGAACUGUAUCAAUAAGAUUGAUUUGCCAAAGGAAUUGGUUUGCUAUUUUUACUGAGUUUAUUUAUUUUCUUGAAUCAUGUGAACUAUUUAGUUUCUUGAAUCACUGUAUUUCUCUUAUUUUAUGCUACUGUUGUGGUGCAUUUCUAGAAUUCUAGUGCUAUUUUCUUUUUUUGAUUCUGCUGUGUUCUUUUUUGUUAGCAAAAUGUCUAAUGUAAGAGAACUUUUUGAUAUAGUAAGAAUUGUUUUUCUCAUUAUAGGUAUGGACAACAAACAUGCCCUUGUUUCCUUCUUGUUCUUUUUGUUCCUUCCGCAUUCGAUUUUGAGUGGGAUAUGAGGGCAAGAGCAUGGUUUGUUUUUACAAUUAAUGGACUACUUUCUGUUCAUCGACUCUUCCUCUAGUCGGAUUUUAUAGGGAGUGCAAUGGUAGAAUUUGGUGAACUACUUACAUACGAGGCUUCAAGGGAUCGGUUGGUGAGCUAGUUGUUCAAAACUUCAAAUCUUUUAGUUGGGGAAGGCAAAAUUAUUUGAUUCUGACCUUAUAUGAAGUUCCCAUGGUUUUUUAGUUUUUUAUAUGGGCACAGUAUUUUAAAACAAUUGGCUGUUGUUGCAGAUGCCAUUUAGAGAAUGAUGGUUGUGCUGUUUGAAUCUGCAUAACCAUGUGCUUGUAAGUUUUAUGUGUUCUGAACACCUCGGGAACCUAGAAUCAUUGGCAUCUUGAGGGACAUGAAUAAACUCCCGCAAUUCCAUGUUAUUACUUUUUGUUGUUCGCAUCACAUUACCAAAAAUAUCUAUUCGUUUGUUUUGGAUCUGGUGCAUCUAUUGUAUUUCUUAUGGCACUAGUACAUAAUGUUGUUUUUCUGAUUAAGGGAGUGGAUAGUCAGGACGUGUGAUGGCUCUUCAUACUGCUCACAUGAAUUAUCAUUGUGAUUCUCAAGAGAGUAUCCCUUUACUGAAGGUCUGAUUAAGCUGAUUCAUUAUUUCUGUUGACCAGAAUACAGCCUAACUCAUGGUUUUUGUUUUUCAAUGUACUAUGUUGUUUAUCACCAGGAAUUUAUUUCAUAACAUGCAUGUAAAAGAUCAUCUCAUAAACCGCUAGGAUUUUAGUUAAUUUGUACUUGAUAUUUAAUUGUUGAAUUCUUACUGUGCAGCCUACUGUUGGUUGACGGACUUUAUUUUUAAUUAGAUGUAUGGGGUCUCUGAAAUUGAUGUUAAUUAGAUGUAUGGGGUCUCUGAAAUUGAUGUUAAUUAGAUGGAUGGGGUCUCUGAAAUUGAUGUUAAUUAGAUGUAUGGGGUCUCUUGUUACGAAACUGAUGUAAGGAUAUGGGGUCUCUGAAAUUCAUGCAAGGAUAUGGGGUUUCUCUUAGUUGAGAAUGAUGAAACUCUUGUAUAUACAGGUCUCAACAUUUUAUGGAAUGAGGGCCUCCCAUUUUCAUUUAAAUCAUGUCGCCUUUUUUUUAUUGCUAGCCUUUUCUUACAUCAAUAGAUAAUCUUAUUGUUUAUUUCCCCUUUAAAACUUCCUAACUUCAUAUGUGCCUUGUUCUUGACAUUUUUAAUUAUUAUUAUUUUUUUCUAUUGAAAAAUUAUUUUCAUGAUCUUUACCAUGAUGUGCCAAAUUUAG